CCUGCCCAUAAUUACCACAGAGCUAUCUAUUUAUAUGACACAUACUAUUAUUAGUAUUUUUUUAGAGGACUAAGUAGUUUCUUGUUUACCAUGGUUGGUGCUGGUUCCAAUGCUAUUCUUGCCCGUGUUAUGAUGCCAAACUGACCUAACCCACCAAGAACUCCAUGGAACAGGUCGCUGUUCUGCCUCUCUGAACAGUUUAAAAUCUCACCUUUUCCUGCAACAACCUUUUUAUUGAUGAACAUUGCUGAUCUGCGGCCCGUGUCGGAAUGCCUGGCCGCUGAUUCCAGCAUUGGACAGAGUACCACCUACAGUUAAAUGUAGGUAGUCCGUCCAUGAUUUUGGUGCAAGCCCGUACUUUAGGGUCUCGUGCAAAAUGUUUAUCCAAAGCUCACCACCAGACACGUCAACAAACGGAGUAGUACCACCACCAACGCCGUGGACCUUCAGCUUCUGGGGCUGUAGUGAUUCCAUGUGGAUAACAAUUCCAUGUCUAGUCUGUGCUUGGCCUUGGAGUGAAUGUCCACGGCCUCUCGCUGCAACCGUGAGCUGCGAAUGAGGUCCCAUCAUCCAGAUGUGUCGUAUCACCGAGGCGAUGUCGCUUACGGAUUUGGGAUGCAAGACCGCCAAAGGAAGCAGCUGGUACCGGUUUCCAAAAUCUUUGGAGGCGGGAUGGACAUCUUCGAACUCCAAGUGGCCUAGUAGGGGAAGGGCUUUCAACGAAGAGAUGCUGUUAGAGAAGCAGCAAGCUAACUUAAAGGCUAUGCAGCUGAGUAGUAGUAAGGCUUUUGACUCGGAUGAAACGCAAAAGGAUUGGUCUCUGAGAAAAAAGAAUGGCAUAUCACUGAACUGAAGGAGGGGUCAGCAGACGUGGAACGAAAGAAAUCCUUGUGGGAAAAUGAGGAGGCAAUGAUGGGACACGACAACACAAUCCUUGUAAGGCAAAAAAAAAAACUGAACGACAGCACAAACCAAAGCAACCAAUGAGUAAGUCUUUCUGUUACUGAUUUACGGCCUCCUCUUGCAGCUAGCUGACAAAAAUAAAACACUGACUGAAUCAUCUCUUGUAUUCAUAAAUUCUUGUGAUUGACAUUAUGAUGAGAUUAGCUUUAGAUUUUGUUUAAUUUACUUUUGCUAAACAUCCGGCAUGUGGAUAACAGAGAGGGACUCAGUGCUUCCUCAAACAUAAUCAUCUCGGAUAAUCUCAUUUUAUUUGUCUUUUGUUGGGGGGUUAAUUUGUCCCAUUUGUUUUAAUUAUUA